GAUGAACGCUGGCGGCGUGCCUAAUACAUGCGAGUCGAGCGAACAGACGAGGAGCUUGCUCCUCUGACGUUAGCGGCGGACGGGUGAGUAACACGUGGAUAACCUACCUAUAAGACUGGGAUAACUUCGGGAAACCGGAGCUAAUACCGGAUAAUAUAUUGAACCGCAUGGUUCAAUAGUGAAAGACGGUUUUGCUGUCACUUAUAGAUGGAUCCGCGCCGCAUUAGCUAGUUGGUAAGGUAACGGCUUACCAAGGCAACGAUGCGUAGCCGACCUGAGAGGGUGAUCGGCCACACUGGAACUGAGACACGGUCCAGACUCCUACGGGAGGCAGCAGUAGGGAAUCUUCCGCAAUGGGCGAAAGCCUGACGGAGCAACGCCGCGUGAGUGAUGAAGGUCUUCGGAUCGUAAAACUCUGUUAUUAGGGAAGAACAAAUGUGUAAGUAACUAUGCACGUCUUGACGGUACCUAAUCAGAAAGCCACGGCUAACUGCGUG
rnacentral:rRNA from 1 species